rnacentral:piRNA from 1 species
UGGGUAAUGCAGAUGGAGCCGUAGCCCAUGC